UCGGGGUGGGGAGGGUGGGUGAAGGCUCCGAACACCUCUGCACGUUGCCCCGGAGCUGCGGACGGAGCUCAGGUAGCCGCCAAGACUUGCUGUAGAUCCGGUGACCCCUCCAAGGAGAGUGCUGAGUCCUGGAAAAUUCUCUUCCUCCUCCUCCACCUCCCUGUCACCUUACCCUCUCCUGUGUUCCCCAACCAGGACCCCAGUAAAGAGGAGACCCCUGCCGUUGUGGAUGUGGCUUUCCCCAGUGCCCACGAGACCCCUGGGGCCUGGCCCCUCUGGGCCCAUAGAAGCUCCCAUGAGAUUCUGAUGCAUGGUGUCUCCCCGCUGCUGAGAAGGAGCCAAGGGACCAGGAUGGCCGCUGGCUCCUGCAAGUGGAGAGGGUCUCCCUGGGGCCUGAACUGGCUGAGGUCUUGCAGCAGGAAGGGGACACUGGACACUUGACCCCCUACAGGGAGCCCAGAGCCAGGACUGGGUGAAGGUGCCUUUGGGAGGAGGCAGAGAAGUGUAUCGAUUGGGACCCAGAUGGACAGGUCCCUGUGAGCCGGCACAGGUCCUUGGUGGGACCCCAAUGCCCAGGGACUCGGGCUGCCCCCCCCCCCAAGCCCCAGGAGAAGAGCCCUGUCCUCCCCAGCCGUGCCAGAGGGUUCUGUCAACUAGCGCUGCUUCCUUAUCAACAAGGACAUGUCUACAAAUAGCUCAUCACGUCUCCAAUCCAGAAGUGCUGUGUCGUUUCAAAAAUGAGCAGAGCCAAUGCAGCCGCCAGCCCAGCCGUGGCUACCUGGGCAAGGCUGCUGGUUCAUGAAUAUUCACGGCUCCGAUGGCUCCGCGAGCCUCCUCACCAUCCGGAAUUAAACCAACGAGCUUCCCCUCACAGGCUGCACUCACUGACUUUCAGCUCCUCUCCAAAUCGUUCUCUUCCUCGCAGCAGAUGGGGAUGUGGGGCGGCCUCGACCCUCCUGUGUGCCUGGGCUGUUGUGGCACCAGCACCUUUGCCCCAGUUCCCCAUCUCUUAGGCGCUUGACACGUGUCUGCCCCGUUCUCAGGAAGGCCUGGACCCCGUCCCAGCCCUGGUGGGGAUAAUUACCCCGAUGUUCGUUUGCAGCGUUUAAUUUGCUUCCUCCGCGCUGGAAGCCCACGUUUGGCGAUGUGUGUGUUAGGAUGGCCACGUGUCCUUCCCCCAUCAGCGACAGGAUCUGGGGAGGCCAGGGAGGCUCCUCAUUACGCUCCCAGCACCAAGCCCAAUCACAGACGUUGCACAUGGAGGCACCAGACCCUGCCUGUGGGGAGAGUGGCUGCCAGCUGGGGCACCCGGACGUCCCUGCGUGCCCUGUGCUGGCACAAGGCAGCUCUUCUGUGCUUCCGUGGUGCCUGCGGUGAGGCUGCCCGGGACGCCCCCUGUAGAUGCUGCCUCCAGGGUCUGCUCCAAGGAAUGGGGAGAACGGGCUUGUGGUGCUGGGGCCUUGUGUGAGGCGGGAUGCUACAGACUGGAAGGGUGGGUGGCCUGGAGCUGCUCUGUCUCCAAGCACUGACCGCAGCCCGCGCCUCUGCGUAGGUCCAGGAGAAGUGUGGCAGGGCUGGGUGCCACCACCUGUGAGCCCCUGAACCUCCCCAGGCUGCCAGAUCUCACUUCAGAGUGGCCCUGGGCUGCGACGGAGGGGCCUGGGCGUGGCCUCAGGUCAGUUCAGGUGAAGACUCUAUUCCUGGCUCAGGAAAGCCACCAGGACAGGUGAGCCCAGCGGCACCUCACGGAGUGAGGCUUUGAGUCCCGUGUGAACAAGGACAGGACACCGGGGCUGCCACAGGUCACAGAGACCCUGCGUCGAUACCUGCGUUUUGAGGUGCGGAGACCAAAGUUGAGACCUGGCCACGAAGCAGGUCUGCAGGGACCUCAGAGCCCGGGGCCACUGUGCUGUCCCCAGUCCCAUUAAACGCCCAGGGCCACUGUGCUGUCCCCAGUCUCAUUAAAUGCAGUAAACGUCUUCUGGGCAUGCCGCCAGCCCCACAGAAAACCAAAGCAAAGCAGACUCACAGCUCCCACAUCCCGGAGCUCAGGUCCAGGAGGGUCUCUGGAAAGGACGGGGCAACUGGAAUACUGUCCUAGUCCCGUCUCGGCCCCAGGGCACCGCAGGGGUCUCUCUUGCAGGUGUGUGGUUGGUUUUAGAAGAUGCUGAGCCCCUCCCUGCGCACUCGUCCCCACCUGCCUGGCCCUGGCACACCUGGCUGCUUCUCAUUCGGGCCUUGAAUGAAAGGCCCCCUUCCCCAGAGUCCUCCCUGACUCCCCUCUCACAGGAAGGGUAUCUCCUGUUCCCCGCGAUGGAGAGUGUUGGUCAACUCUCUCUCCCCAGCCACCUGCGGGGCCCAGGAGGGCUGCACCUGCCUUGGCCAUCCCAGACCCACCACCCAGGGCAGACCCUCCACCCAGGGCAGAGCCUCGGACAUGGUUGAAGGCAGGAAGGGCUGAAGAUGAGGGUGGGUGGUGAGAAAAGGCCUCUGGACGGCAGGGACUUAGACAUGGUUCCAAGUAUGCACGAGGGGAACAGCUGGGGGCCGUGGGCCCCUGCAGGCCUGAUAGAGGAACCCACGGGACUGACUUUUCCUACAGAAAAUCCUGCGCAGGGAGAUCAAAUCCUGGCAUCCCAGAGGAAAGGCCCGUGCCGGCCGUGAGCUGCCCACAGCUGCCUGACCCCAGUCUUCUCCAAUGAAGUGGCUCUGAGAGGUUUUGUGAGUGGGACAAACGACGCCCAGUGCUCAGCGUGAUAUCAGAAAAGCCCAAGACAGUGGAGGGCUCAGCACAGAAGACCCAUCCAUCCGCAGAAUCGCACCGAGAGCAGCUCCUUCAAGGGAGCCCGGGACGCCCCGGGGAAGCCACGCUUAGUGACUGGCCCCAGCCGAGGGCCGAACGGGCCAGGGGCUCGGCCGGGGGAACCCCAGGGCUGAACGGGCCGGGGGCUCGGCUGGGGAACCCCAGGGCUGAACGGGCCGUGCUGGACUGAGGGACACUGCCGGGGGCUCGGCCAGGGAGAACCCCAGGGCUGAAGGUCAAGGCCACUGCAAGGCCCCGGGCUCAGGGGAGAGUGGGGACACAGGACCCAUCCUCCUCAUCUCAGGCUGGUCCUUUUCCCUCCCAUGUGGGGGCACCAUUGCCAGGCCAAUGCCAGUCACUCUGUGAUGACCAGGUUGGAGAAAAGCUGAGAACCCCAAGUACUGGGCAAA